AAAGUAGAGGUAGGUGCGAGAAAUGACGGGCAUCGUGCAAAUCGUUCAUUGUCUCCCAGCUACUUCAACUGUG
rfam:Caenorhabditis brenneri strain PB2801 C_brenneri-6.0.1_Cont123.18, whole genome shotgun sequence.